rnacentral:lncRNA from 1 species
CAACUCCCUCUCCUACCAAGAAAACCCCUAUAUUAACUAAAUUCUUUGAUCAAUUUAUUGCUUUGAAGAAUAUUCUGAGUUCCCAAGAAAAAAUCCCACUUUUCGAAUAUUUAAUAUGGCAUUGGAAGUCGAGGUAGUGGAAGAAGUGGAAUUGAGAUAUCAGAAGCAGCCAGUGGAUGAUGAGAGCCUGCAGAAUGACGUCUAGAAGGCAACAGAAUAUGGAGACAUGAGGAAGCUGCAGCGCCUGGUUGAAAGCAAGUUUGCUCCAUUUCUGAGUCUGAUGCCCUUUUUACUACACUCUCCAAUGGCCGGACUGCAACAUCAUUGAGGUGCACCAGUUACAAAUAAUGGAAAAUUUAUUGUAUAAGAGAGGGAUUAAUUACCCAGUUAUUUACUCAUUAAGAGCACAAAGAACAACUAACAACCCCCAAUAUAUCUUUCAUUAUUUGUUUCCGUCAAUGUCCUAGACAAUAAAACAUAUUUGUAGAAGAAGUUCAGAAACACAGGGAGUUGCCUACUUCUGACUUCCACUGUUUCUUCAAUCCCUUAUACCAGUUCAGUCAACUCCAUUUCCUUCCAAGAAAAACCCUAUAUUAACUAAAUUCUUUGAUCAAUUUAUUGCUUUGAAAAAUAUUCUGAGUUCCCCCGAAAAAAUUUCGACUAUUUAAUAUGGCAUUGCAGAUCGAGGUAGUGGAAGAUGUGGAAUCGAAAUAUCGGAAGCAGCCAGCGGCUAAGAUGGUGGUGGAUGAAAAAAGCCAGCAGAAUGAUGUUUGCAGGCAACAGCUUAUGGAGACAUGGAGAAGCUGCAGCGCCUGGUUGACAGCGAGGUUUCUCCAUUUCUGAGUCUGAUGCCUUUCUUUACUACACUCUCCAGUGGCCGGACUGCAACAUCGAGGUGCACCAUUUUAUAUAU